rnacentral:rRNA from 1 species
GACAGAGGGUGCAAACGUUGUUCGGAAUUACUGGGCGUAAAGCGCGUGUAGGCGGUUGGGUAAGUCGGAUGUGAAAGCCCCGGGCUCAACCCGGGAAGUGCAUUCGAUACUACUUGGCUAGAGUACUGGAGAGGAUGGUGGAACUCUCGGUGUAGAGGUGAAAUUCGUAGAUAUCGAGAAGAACACCGGCGGCGAAGGCGGCCAUCUGGACGGUUUCUGACACUAAGACUCGAAAGCGUGGGGAGCAAACAGG